rnacentral:lncRNA from 1 species
GGCAACACAGUCAGGAACUUCACCACCACUGGGGUAGGUAAGCCUAUUGUGAGGUCCGCUUCUAAUUCUAGUUGUUGACCCUUCUGAUAUUCUCUAGCUCGUCUAUUCUUGAACCAGGUGUGGAGAAACAAAGGAAAGGACAGCUCAUAAAUGGUCAGUUGCACCCUCUGGGCCCCUGUUUGGAACUAAAAAAUGGGCCCUGGGGAAGAGAGGGGAGGGGCAAGGCCUACGCCUCGCCAGAGUUCUACAUAUACUCUGGUCAUGUGGACAUUGGAGUGCUGCCAUAUACUCUCCACUCAGCCCCAGUUGGGAAUUCAAGCCUUUGACUCACUUUUGGGGGGUGAAUAAGGGGCAGCCCAACCUGGGAGCCUCGGGGAUACUUUCCUAAAGCCCAGGGGUUAUGGGAGAGAGGGAUGUGGGAUGAGAGGUUCCCACACCAGUGAGAGUGAGCACAGCGGAUCUUGACUGGAGCACAGGAAGGCCUUCCAUCAGGAGAUUAGAAAGGGCUCAUUAGAAAAAAGCCUAUCCCAUCCUCCAAGGACAGUGGGCCUUGAUGAGCAGAGACAUUCUAUGUUUAUAGUGCUUUAUUAUAGACGACAGGGAGAAAGAGAGAAGGUAGAAAAGACAGAGAGAGGGGGUGAAAGACUAGAAA